CUUAUAGAUCUAAAAGUGGUUCUAGGAUGGCCAGUGGUAUUUUUUUUUUUUUUUUUUUUUUUUUUUUUUUUUUUUUUUUUUUUUUUUUUUUUUUUUUUUUUUUUUUUUUUUUUUUUUUUUUUUUUUUUUUUUUUUUUUUUUUUUUUUUUUUUUUUUUUUUUUUUUUUUUUUUUUUUUUUUUUUUUUUUUUUUUUUUUUUUUUUUUUUUUUUUUUUUUUUUUUUUUUUUUUUUUUUUUUUUUUUUUUUUUUUUUUUUUUUUUUUUUUUUUUUUUUUUUUUUUUUUUUUUUUUUUUUUUUUUUUUUUUUUUUUUUUUUUUUUUUUUUUUUUUUUUUUUUUUUUUUUUUUUUUUUUUUUUUUUUUUUUUUUUUUUUUUUUUUUUUUUUUUUUUUUUUUUUUUUUUUUUUUUUUUUUUUUUUUUUUUUUUUUUUUUUUUUUUUUUUUUUUUUUUUUUUUUUUUUUUUUUUUUUUUUUUUUUUUUUUUUUUUUUUUUUUUUUUUUUUUUUUUUUUUUUUUUUUUUUUUUUUUUUUUUUUUUUUUUUUUUUUUUUUUUUUUUUUUUUUUUUUUUUUUUUUUUUUUUUUUUUUUUUUUUUUUUUUUUUUUUUUUU
rnacentral:lncRNA from 1 species